GAUGUCCGCCACCAUCAAGAAAUGAUAACAAUGUAUUCAAAGAUGUCCUACCACAAUAAAAAAUUGACGAUGGUGUAUUCAUAGAAGUCUACCACCAUCAAGAAAUGAUGAUGUAGUGACUCUACAAGGAAUUUGCCAUUUGCUUAUGACAAAAAAACCUCAUGAUUUUAGGUACUACAGACAAGAAGAAGAACACCAAGUGACACUACCUACAAUGUAGAGUCAUUGUUGCCACCAAGGUUGGUU
rnacentral:lncRNA from 1 species